rnacentral:tRNA from 1 species
GCCGGGGUGGCGAAAUGGCAGACGCACCGCACUCAAAAUGCGGCGGGGGUGACCCCGUGAGGGUUCGAAUCCCUCUCCCGGCACCA